AUGUGUUUGUGGAGAGCUUAUGAUGACAGUUUUAUAAUAAGACUUUUAGAUUUACAUAUUAUCCCAGUGAAGGCAAAUUACUCUUCCACAACACAUGAGUAGUUACACUCAGCAGAAAGAUAACACGGCAAUCUAUUCCCUUUCAAAUGUUAAGGAAAGAAUAAUUAGAUAUAAAUAUGUUGAUAAGCAGUUUAAAAGGUGAUAUUAUUCAUCUUUCAUGAUCUCACUGCUAUGCUCUGCAUUUCAAAUAAAGCAAAUGUGAGACCUGAAGUCACUGUGCUACAGAAACUAAUUCUAGUACCACUAUACCAGCUUCCUAAGCAAUGAUAACCUGUUGGGAACCAAAGUUGUAUCUGAUUUGGCCUUUGAACAGCUGUUGAAGGGAUGGCAUUGACACGUCUGCCUUGAAGAAUGAAUGGGACUUUAACUAAAUGAAAGUAACAGUGGGAGCCACAGUGCUCUGGAAAGAAUAGUUCAAAAGGAGAGGUGGAAGUUUCCUUCAUACUGUGCACCAAAUUCCAAGUUCCCAAGACUGGUCCAGUCUAUUAGUGAGGAAGAAAUUAUAGCUGCAUUACCUGCAUAUGAACUGCAUUACCUGCAUUUGAACCCCUUACAGUCUUAAAGUAAAUCCUUCCUUUUGAGAGGCCUCUACAGCUACCGUGGAGUCACACUGGAUAACUAAAAUAUCAAAAAUCAUGCAAUAACUAAUGAUAAUAUGUGUGGUCUAAAGGCCUUCAUUUCUGAAUGCAUGAGAGUACAAAGCAGAAGUUUCCAAGCAGACAGAGGAAUGCCAUGGUGAGGUGGAGGAAAGAGAAAGAAAAGAACAUGGUCAAGACUCUGCAUUUUCACUGCAGUCCUACUUAUCUCAAAACACUUUUGCUUUAGAAGCAGUUCCCUCAAAAACUUGAAUUGCAAGACAUGCAUGGAAGUUUUAUAAACCUACCAUAUUCAGAUCCCUAAAAGUCACAGUAAAGAUGGAAAUAAGUUAUUUUGUCUUUCAAGUGAAGUUUGAUUUUCUGUGUGUGUAGGAAAGGCAACAAACUGCCAUUUAGCUAAUAAACCAAUGCAGGAACUAAAGAGAGAAACA
rnacentral:lncRNA from 1 species